UAGAAACUAGCCAAGGAAUUUCCUGUUUCUCGCUUCCAUUCUAAAAUUGCAGUUAUUUUGGAAAUGAGACUGUGUACUGUAGCUUUAAGAUGCUGAAAGGUCUGGAGACUGAAAUUCUCUCUCCAUGAAAUCAGUAAGGUCUGCAGCAGCAGCAGCAGGACUAAUUGCCCUCUUUUUAUUCUGCAAAUAGACCUUGAUGUGUUGUGCCCUGGUGGACCCCAGCUAAUCACAGCUUUUCUGUUGAGACUGUCAGCAAGGAUUUCAGUUGCUGCUGCUGCUCUCCUGGUUUCCUCCGGUUUGGACACCUGUCUUGCUACAAUGAAGUCAUUAGGUUUCUUCAUAAAAGCUUACUAUUCUAGAUGCAGAGACACCAUUGUGAGGUAGCUGAACCAGAUCGUGAUUGUGUUGCAAGGUGCUUGUAGCAGGAGACACAUCGAGUUACCAUACUGGGUGGCCUUAGGGCUUCUCUAGUUUAUGCCAAGACAUUUCAAGUCUCAGUCUAUUGAGAACAGGCAGAAUCUUUAUUUGCUCUGCUGCUGAUUUGCCCUGGUCAUCAAGCUGAAGGCUUUAGAUCUAGGAGCAAUUGAUCUAAGGCUUGUUCACAUAGUUUUAUGCCAUGAAAAUUAUGCUGUUUAAAAAUUAAAUGGACUUUAUCUCGUUAAAGUUCUAGAAAUGCCCUUUAAAUCCUAGUGCUUCUAAUGUAUGAGAUAGCUAUGGAUGGCCCAGUACCCAGCCUAUGCAUACAGCACCCUUCAAUACAAAAUAUAUAUGACCUUAUUGGUCACUCCGUAUGGCUGAAAAUGAGUGUAGCGUCACAGGAGGUUAUUUGAGAAUGAAUUGAAAAUGUUCCAGGACUUGUUUCUGGGGAAAUCUCUCAUUUUUAGAUUGUCCUGGUGCUCUGUGGCCAGGCUCCUGGCUGUGUGUUGUCUGUGCAGGUGUCUAGCAGGCUCCUUGCUUCAUCAUGGAGUUGCGUUCUGCACUGAAGUGGCUUAGCUACUGUUGUAGCUCAGCACAGGCUCUCACUAAUGGCUGCAGUCACUGAAGAAGAGGAAGAAUGCCUAGCAGAGAUGGGUAAAGAAGAGCAGGGGAAAGAAAGAAGACCAGAAAAGCAGUGCGGAAGAUGCCAGUGAAGAGCAGGGAGAAGAGAAGCAGCAGCCUCCAGCAGGUCAGGCAAGAAACUGCCCCUUCCAGAGCAGAGUCCCAGAAAAAGGAAGAAGGCGAGAAGCUGGAAUCUCGGGAUCCCAAAGGAAAUAGAGAAACUGCGAAAGAGGAAGAACUGUCCAGAAGUUCCAGUGACAGCACAGUUACCGAAAUGGAGGAAGGGAAGAAGAUCAAAGCACCCAAGAAGCAGAAGCUUGUCCAUGAGAUCCCCAUGAAACUAAGUGUAAGUGAUGUGCCUGACCUGCUGGAGGAUGAACUGAAGAGCUCGAUGAAAAAGGAUGUUUGAAAUGGCUCUGCUGGGUUAAAGCUCCAGACUCCCAGACUUUAUGAUCGGAGAUCUAGAGAAACAGGAAAGAGAGAAGUUGGCCAACAGCUUGGAGUCGUUUGUCUUUGAGACCCAGGAGAAGCUUUACGAAGAGGAGCAUAGGUUUGUCUCAUCAGGGGAGCAGAGAGAAGGCAUAUCCAGAAAGCUUAGCGAGGCUUCCAGUUGGAUGAAGGAGAAGGGCUCUGCAGCUGCAACUAAGAUACUGCUGUGUGUAUUCAGGAUAGCAGGUGCUGUCCUUCACAUGGAAAUGACCGCACGAGCUGACUGAGGAUCGAUCCACCUCGAUCCUUUGUAAUCUCGUUUUUGCAAGUCUCUCGCUUCUCUAGCAUUUUGCACAGAAUAAAACACAAAGUUCUUGCAGUUGUGGAUGAGCAGCUUGAGCAGUAACUGCAGAAGUAACUCCCGGUCCUGCAGCCCAUCCUUCUCCACCUUUUUCUCCUAAUGCCCGUGACAGGCUUUACCCCCAUCUCUGUCCUGUCUCCCUGUCCAUUUUUUAAUCUCUCUGUAUCGCAUUGUCCUGGUCCUUGUCUCUGUUUGUCUUUUCCUUCUGCCCCGAUACUUCUCUCCACCUCUGUCCUGCUCACUGUCCCUCUGUCGGGCUUCCUGUCCUCAUUACUUUUGUCUCUCCUUCUCUGCCUAUUGCCUGUCCCCUCAUUCCUUGCUAUGCCUCCCCAUCCAGCCGCCUCUCCCUUUUUCCCUUUCUCUCCUCCUCUGUCCUGUUCCCUGGCCCCUUUUCUCUCUUCCUCCAUCUCUGCCCUCUGGCCCAUUUCUGGUUUUAGUUUUUUUCCUUCUAGGUCACUUCUUACAGAUCUGACCCUUUCUUUAUUUAUUGAUCCCUUUGUCCUCUUCUCUCUCUCCUUUUUCUCUCUCUGUGUGCAUGCCCUGUGCCCUGUCACUUUCCUUGUCUCUCCGUUCUUCUUCCUCUCCUUCCCCCCCCCACCCCUUUAUACCCAUGUCCUGCACCCUCUGUUUUCUUGCUCCGACUCUCUCUUUCAAUGACUGUACCAAAGAUGGUGCAAAAUACUUU